rnacentral:lncRNA from 1 species
GCCGAGAUCAUUCUGUAUGGAGGACACACGGGUCCUGGGAUGCAGGAUAAACACAGCUCUCAGGGGCCAAGGUCCAGGAUUCCCGUCCUGACUCGCCACUAGCCUGGCAUGUGACCCUGGACAAAUCACUUCCCUUCUCUGGAUCUCAAUGUCCUUGUCUGUCAGGCGGGAAGCCCCUUGAUCCUGCUUGCUCCCAGGAGGGGGAGGUGGCCCGUGGAGUGGGAAGAGAGUUGACUUGGGAGCAAAGAUACCCAGGGUCUAACCCUAGUGCUUCUUCUCGUUGGCCGUGGGUCCCUAAGCAAGCAACGUGUCCUCUCUGAACCUCAGUUUCCGCACCUGUAAGGUGGGAACAGGAUUCUGACACAGGGUCCCGCAGCCCAGGCCGCACCUCUCCCCACUCCAGGAAGCCUUUCCUGGGGACCCCAUCAGCAUCAGACCCUUCUCCCGUAUGCCGCUGGGUUCCUGUCCCCACCGCGCUGUGGCUGCCCAGGCACAGCAGCUCCUCCUUCCUGCGGCAGACCCCAUCCCCCCUCCUUCCAGAAGCAGCCACUGCGGGACCCACAGCAGACCCGGCCGUCCACGACCGGCCAUUCGCCACGUCCAGUCACAUCCUGGGGAGCUGUUUCUGCAGAGAUGGUCCAUGGCGCGGGUGGUCUGUGUCGCGGUGCCUGAGUGAGCAGAUGUGCGGCUCAGAGAGAGAGAUGCCCUGGGCUCCCCACCUCCUGGCUGUUCCUCAUGCUUCUCCCUCCAUCUGCACAUGGACUAUGAUGCUGGAGAGACAGGUUUUACAAAUAAAACUUCCCAUCCAGAUUUCGUCUCAGCAUCCACUUCCCAGAGAACCAGGCUGACAAGCAUGACAGGGUUGCUUCCAAACG